rnacentral:lncRNA from 1 species
UUGACAUUGGGAAUGUUCUCAAAUAGUUCAAAGAACGUUAAGAAACAACGGUCUCCUGUGGGAAUUUCAGUUCUUCAGCAUAACGUUUCCUACAGGUUUCGUCAUGGUUCUAUUUAAAUAAAAACAGUUGAUGUCCGUGCCUGCAUGUAAAUCUAAUUAGCAUAAUAUAAGAGAUAUCUUUUUGCAUGGGCUGCGUCUUCAGCAUCUGCGGUGGAAGGUGGCAGAGCUACAGUGGUUUUUGUUAGACCAGGAGACAUCCUGAAAAUAGGUUCUCACGAAAACGUCUGUAGCGUCAGAACCAUUUGGGGUUUGCUCUAUGACCCCAACAAGCCUCACAAGACUCCCUGCAACCUAAAAAUAAAUGUUCCCAGAACAGGCAAAAUCUUCACUUCCGUUCUCAGAACGUAAUUUAUGGCUACGUUCCCAGAACCAAUGGGAAAUCCAAAACUUUCCCACAACUUCCAACGAACCAAAUGUGCUAGCUGGGUAGAAGCCUAGAAAGCAAAUAAACAUUAUCUGGGAAGUGGAGAGGCAGCAGAGAAACGAAACUUAGACAGACUUUGCUGGAAACAAAACUGAAGGUUAAGAAGAAACGUGUGGCAAAGAGCGACUGUGCUCAGCCCGAUCACGCCCACACACACAAUGCAGGCUGAGGGUGUUAGCUGCUUUCCUUUGGCUGUCAGAAUUGCAAUGACAGAGCGGGGGGGGGUUCAAGGUAUAAAAGGAGGUUACAAUGUUUGAUCUGUCCUUUCUAUCCUGCGGAGCCCUCCGCUUAAGGAUUUGGGACUGGUGACCCUCUGUCCGGUCACUAUUGAGUUCCCACUCUGUUUGCUUGCUGUGUAUUUACUUUGAAGAGGAGGAGAGGAGGAGGAGGAAAGGAGAUGAAAAGCCUGCUCCCAAGGGCAGGUCACUGGGUCCCUGGCCAUGUCCUAGUGGGGGGUGUUGGGAGUCUGUCCCCUAGCAGGUACUGACCCUCAGCAUGACCUCGCAGGACCUGGUCAGUCGGGCCUGGUGAGCAGAGCCAGGAGCUGCAGAUUAACUGAUCCGCAGCGACCUUGACGCACCGACGAACCCAAGCACCAGACACCCGAAGACACCUGAGACGACUAGAUGAAGCUCAUCCGAAGCACAAAGCUUAUAUUACUUACCUGAAUACUUAAACGAAAUGUACCCUAGAAUGCCGCCAGAUGAAGAACCAUUCUUUUCUUUUUUUGGUUGGCUUCUGGUUGUCUGCGUUGCUUGGUUUCGGCGGCUCAUGGGGGGCCUGCUGAAGAAAACGCAUUCCCAAAUACACUGCAAUGCUGAAUGCAUAAUUUCCAUGAAAAUGUAAAAAUGUUAAAUAAAAAUUGAAAAAAACAUUGCAACAUGAACAAACUUACCUGUGCCAUUUGUUCUGUAGUUGUCAUUUUGGAUAUUUAUACACUCUGAUAUUGAUGCCACAUUGCAGAGAACAGCUGCAAAGUUAUAACAUCGCAAAUAAUACUUAGUUAGUAGUGUAAGUAAGUAAUAUCCAAGCCACUUGACACAUCUUUAAACUCAUACAUACUGACAAUUUAAUAUCAGUCUCAGUGCAUUAUUUUAUUUUACUUUUUUGUAAUUAGCUUUAUGUAGG